rnacentral:rRNA from 1 species
UACGAAGGGGCUAGCGUUGCUCGGAAUCACUGGGCGUAAAGGGUGCGUAGGCGGGUCUUUAAGUCAGGGUGAAAUCCUGGAGCUCAACUCCAGAACUGCCUUUGAUACUGAAGAUCUUGAGUUCGGAGAGGUGAGUGGAACUGCGAGUGUAGAGGUGAAAUUCGUAGAUAUUCGCAAGAACACCAGUGGCGAAGGCGGCUCACUGGCCCGAUACUGACGCUGAGGCACGAAAGCGUGGGAGCAAACAGG